rnacentral:sRNA from 1 species
GCAGGGCACGGUGGUGCAUGCCUGUAGUCUCAGUGACUUUGGAGGCUGAGGCAGGAGGAUCACAAGUUCAAAGCCAGUUUCAGCAAAAGUGAGGCACUAAGCAACUCAGUGAGACCCUGUCUCUA